UGCGGCCUAUCAGGUAGUAGUGGGUGUAGCGUACCUACUAGCCUACGACGGGUACGGGUUGUGAGAGCAAGAGCCCGGAGAUGGAUUCUGAGACACGAAUCCAGGCCCUACGGGGUGCAGCAGGCGCGAAAACUUUACAAUGCUGGCAACAGCGAUAAGGGAACCUCGAGUGCCAGGUUACAAAUCUGGCUGUCGAGAUGCCUAAAAAGCAUUUCAUAGCAAGGGCCGGGC
rnacentral:rRNA from 1 species